GAUGAAGAACGUAGCGAAAUGCGAUACGUAAUGUGAAUUGCGGAAUUCAGCGAACCAUCGAAUCUUUGAACGCACAUUGCGCCCGCCAGUAUUCUGGCGGGCAUGCCUGUCCGAGCGUCAUUUCCCCCCUCACGCGCCCCGUUGCGCGCUGGUGUUGGGGCUCCUCCGCCUGGCGGAGGGCCCCGAAAGCGAGUGGCGGGCCCGGCUGGUUGGCUCCGAGCGCAGUACCGAACGCAAGUUCUCCCCUCGCUCAGACGCCCCGCCGGCGCCCUGCCGUCAAAACGCGCAUGACGUGCAACUCUUUUUACAAGGUUGACCUCGGAUCAGGUAGGACUACCCGCUGAACUUAAGCAUAUCAAUAAGCGGAGGA
rnacentral:misc_RNA from 1 species